AAAAAAGGUAAGCUACUAAGAGCGAAUGGUGGAUGCCUUGACUGGUAAAGGCGAUGAAGGACGUACUAGACUGCGAUAAGCUACGGGGAGCUGUCAAGAAGCUUUGAUCCGUAGAUUUCCGAAUGGGGCAACCCAAUGUAUAGAGAUAUACAUUACCUAUAUAGGAGCGAACGAGGGGAAUUGAAACAUCUUAGUACCCUCAGGAAAAGAAAUCAAUAGAGAUUGCGUCAGUAGCGGCGAGCGAAAGCGCAAGAGGGCAAACCCAGUGCUUGCACUGGGGGUUGUAGGACUGCAAUGUGCAAGAGGUGAGUUUAGCAGAACAUUCUGGAAAGUAUAGCCAUAGAGGGUGAUAGUCCCGUAUGCGAAAAACAAACCUUAGCUAGCAGUAUCCUGAGUAGGGCGGGACACGAGAAAUCCUGUCUGAAGCCGGGUCGACCACGAUCCAACCCUAAAUACUAAUACCAGAUCGAUAGUGCACAAGUACCGUGAGGGAAAGGUGAAAAGAACUGAGGUGAUCAGAGUGAAAUAGAACCUGAAACCAUUUGCUUACAAUCAUUCAGAGCACUAUGUAGCAAUACAGUGUGAUGGACUGCCUUUUGCAUAAUGAGCCUGCGAGUUGUGGUGUCUGGCAAGGUUAAGCAAACGCGAAGCCGUAGCGAAAGCGAGUCUGAAUAGGGCGCUUAGUCAGAUGCUGCAGACCCGAAACGAAGUGAUCUAUCCAUGAGCAAGUUGAAGCUAGUGUAAGAACUAGUGGAGGACUGAACCCAUAGGCGUUGAAAAGCCCCGGGAUGACUUGUGGAUAGGGGUGAAAGGCCAAUCAAACUUCGUGAUAGCUGGUUCUCUCCGAAAUAUAUUUAGGUAUAGCGUUGUGUCGUAAUAUAAGGGGGUAGAGCACUGAAUGGGCUAGGGCAUACACCAAUGUACCAAACCCUAUCAAACUCCGAAUACCUUAUAUGUAAUCACAGCAGUCAGGCGGCGAGUGAUAAAAUCCGUCGUCAAGAGGGAAACAACCCAGACUACCAGCUAAGGUCCCUAAAUCUUACUUAAGUGGAAAACGAUGUGAAGUUACUUAAACAACCAGGAGGUUGGCUUAGAAGCAGCCAUCCUUUAAAGAAAGCGUAAUAGCUCACUGGUCUAGUGAUUUUGCGCGGAAAAUAUAACGGGGCUAAAGUAAGUACCGAAGCUGUAGACUUGACUUUGUCAAGUGGUAGGAGAGCGUUCUAUUUGCGUCGAAGGUAUACCGGUAAGGAGUGCUGGAGCGAAUAGAAGUGAGCAUGCAGGCAUGAGUAGCGAUAAUUAAUGUGAGAAUCAUUAACGCCGUAAACCCAAGGUUUCCUACGCGAUGCUCGUCAUCGUAGGGUUAGUCGGGUCCUAAGUCGAGUCCGAAAGGGGUAGACGAUGGCAAAUUGGUUAAUAUUCCAAUACCAACAUUAGUGUGCGAUGGAAGGACGCUUAGGGCUAAGGGGGCUAGCGGAUGGAAGUGCUAGUCUAAGGUCGUAGGUGCUUAUACAGGCAAAUCCGUAUAAGAAUACACCGAGAACUGAAAGGCUUUUUGAAGUCUUCGGAUGGAUAGAAGAACCCCUGAUGCCGUCGAGCCAAGAAAAGUUUCUAAGUUUAGCUAAUGUUGCCCGUACCGUAAACCGACACAGGUGGGUGGGAUGAGUAUUCUAAGGCGCGUGGAAGAACUCUCUUUAAGGAACUCUGCAAAAUAGCACCGUAUCUUCGGUAUAAGGUGUGGUUCGCUUCGUAUUAGGAUUUACUCCGAAAGCGAAGAAACUUACAACAAAGAGUCCCUCCCGACUGUUUACCAAAAACACAGCACUCUGCUAACUCGUAAGAGGAUGUAUAGGGUGUGACGCCUGCCCGGUGCUCGAAGGUUAAUUGAUGGGGUUAGCAUUAGCGAAGCUCUUGAUCGAAGCCCGAGUAAACGGCGGCCGUAACUAUAACGGUCCUAAGGUAGCGAAAUUCCUUGUCGGUUAAAUACCGACCUGCAUGAAUGGCGUAACGAGAUGGGAGCUGUCUCAAAGAGGGAUCCAGUGAAAUUGUAGUGGAGGUGAAAAUUCCUCCUACCCGCGGCAAGACGGAAAGACCCCGUGGACCUUUACUACAGCUUGACACUGCUACUUGGAUAAGAAUGUGCAGGAUAGGUGGGAGGCUUUGAGUAUAUGACGCCAGUUGUAUAUGAGCCAUUGUUGAGAUACCACUCUUUCUUAUUUGGGUAGCUAACCAGCUUGAGUUAUCCUCAAGUGGGACAAUGUCUGGUGGGUAGUUUGACUGGGGCGGUCGCCUCCCAAAUAAUAACGGAGGCUUACAAAGGUUGGCUCAGAACGGUUGGAAAUCGUUCGUAGAGUAUAAAGGUAUAAGCCAGCUUAACUGCAAGACAUACAAGUCAAGCAGAGACGAAAGUCGGUCUUAGUGAUCCGGUGGUUCUGUGUGGAAGGGCCAUCGCUCAAAGGAUAAAAGGUACCCCGGGGAUAACAGGCUGAUCUCCCCCAAGAGCUCACAUCGACGGGGAGGUUUGGCACCUCGAUGUCGGCUCAUCGCAUCCUGGGGCUGGAGCAGGUCCCAAGGGUAUGGCUGUUCGCCAUUUAAAGCGGUACGCGAGCUGGGUUCAGAACGUCGUGAGACAGUUCGGUCCCUAUCUGCCGUGGGCGUAAGAAGAUUGAAGAGAUUUGACCCUAGUACGAGAGGACCGGGUUGAACAAACCACUGGUGUAGCUGUUGUUCUGCCAAGAGCAUCGCAGCGUAGCUAAGUUUGGAAAGGAUAAACGCUGAAAGCAUCUAAGCGUGAAGCCAACUCUAAGAUGAAUCUUCUCUAAGCUCUCUAGAAGACUACUAGUUUGAUAGGCUGGGUGUGUAAUGGAUGAAAGUCCUUUAGCUGACCAGUACUAAUAGAGCGUUUGGCUUAUCUUUAAUAAAGCAU
rnacentral:rRNA from 1 species